rnacentral:sRNA from 12 species
ACCUUAUAUAGAUGUAUCAACGCAAGACAGUUGAGCAUUUCCCUAUAAGGUGAUGUUUCAAUAGAAGUAUAAACAACAAGUCUUAUUGUGUAGUUAUGAGUUGAAAUAAGAUGAGUUUAUAUGGAAUAGGUUAACCGUAAGACCUUGAGUUGAAAAACUCUAAAAUUAACCUAGAAAUCAAAUUUUUAAAAUUUCGUAUUUUCUAGUUACGGUUGG